CUUCAACUCCCUCUCUCAUCUCUCCACUAUUUUCUUCUUCAUUGGCUUUGAUUAUCUACGAUGUGUUCUACUCUCUCUUAUUUGCACCUCUAUGCUCUAUAUAAAUGGGUCACAUGAGUCACACUGAUGAGUAAACUAAAAAGUAAUACUAAGAUGACAUCUUCCAUAGUUUCCAGCAUGUUUUUCUUUGUUCUUCUUCUUAUUGUGUUUCCGCAUAUGGAUAAAACUCUUGGCGCACAAAAGGAGCUCCACAAACUCCAAGAGACAAACCAUCCUGAUCAAGUGACAGUCCAAAGGCAACGCCGCUAUUUUAUUGGUCCUCCGUCUAUUCCGUGCCAACACUACCAGCGAUGCAAGCGUACUCUACCCACUCCAACCCCUCCGUGCCACUUCUACCAGCGAUGUAAGCGUACUCCACCGACUCCAACCUCUUCUAAAGGCAAAUACGGAUCUGGUCACUGAUCUCACUAUAGAGUCAAAUGCGUUAUAUAUGUAUCGACGUUUCUACGAUAUCGGUCGCUUUCCAGUUUCUGUGGUUCUUCGUCUCGUGUUGUCAUGUUUCUAUAGAUUUAUCAUACAUAUUAGUAAGUUGGAACAAUAUGUAAAAUUUUAAUAUUGUAUCCAUAGAUCAUGAAUGCCCACCAUCUCAAUAAAUAGACGUUAUUAUUUUAAUAAACAAAUGUAGUUGUAACAUUACUUUGUCCCCUUAUGCUUUUUAUCUUAACGUCGAUCUCAUAUAAUCUCAAAAUUUUUAUUUUUUUUAUAACUAUUGCAUCUGCGCAGCCACAUUCCCAACUAUCCCUUUUUCGGGAGUCCAGCACCCCAACGGAAGAGAUGUUAAAUCCGUUGUGACCAAGGCUCGAACCCGGGUGGCGGACAGUACAGCUAUACUUCCUUUACCACCAAGCUACAAGCGCUUGGAGAAAUGAAGAGAGAGCUAUAUAUAAAACCUAUGCAAUCCGAGAAGCGACGUUUACGCCUUUGGGAUCCUUCUCUCAGCAACUGGUAAUAAUUCUAACAUUCUUUGUCAGAGAUUCUCGAAUCUUUCUGUUGUUAAUUAGUGAAAGCAUAGGUUUCUGCAUUCUUCUGUUGUAAGUAUGCUUAACUUUUGGUGCCCUUGAAUGCAUGAUUAGUAUGCAGUGUUAAUUAAUUAAAAUUUAAUUGUAUAACCCCUCAAAACCAAGACAGAAGAAAAUAACCGAAGUAGAUUCAUCAUAUUAGCUUCUUCUGCUUCUGUUAACACCAUUGUCAUUGACAAAGAUAAACUAAAAAUAAAAAUGAAAUCAGAAUGGUUCCUUUCCUAUGAAACAACAAAUGCAUAUAACCAACAACAAAAGUGAGAGAAUAACAAAAAAAAAAAAAGCU